UACGGGGGGAGCAAGCGUUGUUCGGAUUUACUGGGCGUAAAGGGCGCGUAGGCGGCCACCGCAAGUCGACUGUGAAAUCUCCGGGCUUAACUCGGAAAGGUCAGCCGAUACUGCGGGGCUAGAGUGCAGAAGGGGCAACUGGAAUUCUCGGUGUAGCGGUGAAAUGCGUAGAGAUGGGGGAGAACACUCGUGGCGAAGGCGGCCAGCUAGACCAGUUCUGACACUGAGGCGCGACAGCGUGGGGAGCAAACAGG
rnacentral:rRNA from 1 species